rnacentral:rRNA from 1 species
UACGUAGGGGGCCUAGCGUUGUCCGGAUUUAUUGGGCGUAAAGAGCUCGUAGGCGGUUUGGUGAGUCGGGUGUGAAAUCUCCACGCUCAACGUGGAGGGGCCACCCGAUACUGCCAUGACUAGAGUCCGGUAGGGGAGUGUGGAAUUCCCGGUGUAGCGGUGAAAUGCGCAGAUAUCGGGAGGAACACCAGUAGCGAAGGGCGACACUCUGGGCCGGUACUGACGCUGAGGCGCGAAAGCGUGGGGAGCAAACAGG